rnacentral:tRNA from 1 species
AAAAAAUUAGUUAAUAAAAUAACAUAAGCUUGUCAAGCUUAAAUUACUAAUUAAAAUAGUAUUUUUUA